rfam:Streptomyces auratus AGR0001 genomic scaffold Scaffold1, whole genome shotgun sequence.
CCGGUGAGCAACCGCUCACCGGGUCCUGACCCCGGUACCUGAUACGGCCGGGGCAG